rnacentral:tRNA from 1 species
GUUUUUAGUAGCUUAGUAUUAAGCACGGCCCCGAAGUUGCCGCGACGGACACAAAAUCCCAAGAACA